GCCAGCAGCCAUAUCACCCUGCAACUCACAACUGUGUGAGCCUGGUCAGUACCUGGAUGAGAGACCUCCUGGGAAAAACUAAGGUUGCUGCUGGAA
rnacentral:rRNA from 1 species